GACGAACGCUGGCGGCGUGCUUAACACAUGCAAGUCGAACGGUGAAGCGCCUUCCUUUUUGGUGGGUGUGGAUGAGUGGCGAACGGGUGAGUAACACGUGAGUAACCUGCCCCCUUCUUCUGGAUAACCGCAUGAAGGUGUGGCUAAUACGGGAUAUUCUGGGUCUGUCGCAUGAUGGGUCUGGGAAAGAUAUUGUUUCGGUGGGGGAUGGGCUCGCGGCCUAUCAGCUUGUUGGUGGGGUGAUGGCCUACCAAGGCGGUGACGGGUAGCCGGCCUGAGAGGGGGACAGGCCACGGGGGGACGGAGAUGGGGGCCGGACGGGGGCGGGAGGGAGGGGGGGGGACGGUUGCAGAACGGGCGGAAGCCGGAGGCAGGACCGUCGUGGGGGGGGGGAGGGUCGUCGGGUGGUAAACAGCAGGCGCCGGUGGAGAAGAGGGAGGGACGGUAAGGGGUAAAGAAGCACCGGCUAACUACGGG
rnacentral:rRNA from 1 species